AUUGAACGCUGGCGGCAUGCCUUACACAUGCAAGUCGAACGGCAGCACGGGUGCUUGCACCUGGUGGCGAGUGGCGAACGGGUGAGUAAUACAUCGGAACGUACCUUAUCGUGGGGGAUAACGCAGCGAAAGCUGUGCUAAUACCGCAUACGCCCUGAGGGGGAAAGCGGGGGAUCGAAAGACCUCGCGCGAUUAGAGCGGCCGAUGCCUGAUUAGCUUGUUGGUGGGGUAAAAGCCCACCAAGGCGACGAUCAGUAACUGGUCUGAGAGGACGAUCAGCCACACUGGGACUGAGACACGGCCCAGACUCCUACGGGAGGCAGCAGUGGGGAAUUUUGGACAAUGGGGGCAACCCUGAUCCAGCAAUGCCGCGUGAGUGAAGAAGGCCUUCGGGUUGUAAAGCUCUUUUGUCAGGGAAGAAACACCGGCUCUAACACAGUCCGGGAAUGACGGUACCUGAAGAAUAAGCACCGGCUAACUACGUGCCAGCAGCCGCCGCGG
rnacentral:rRNA from 1 species